ACCUGGGUGGCUCAGUUGGUUAAGCAUCUGACUUCGACUCAGGUCAUGAUCUAAAGGUCCGUGAGUUCAAGCCUUGCGUCAGGUU
rnacentral:tRNA from 1 species